rnacentral:sRNA from 1 species
GGAUAAAGAAAAAAAUUCUUUAGGUUCUAAUUUAUUUAUGCUUAUUUUUUUGUUUGGUUAGGCGUGAAGUGGGCGAGACACGGUCACGCGCCAAGUCAGCCGAGUGGUCGUUUCUCUUCGAAAGAGAGAAAAUGUAACCGAAACCACGUGGCAGAUAUCGAUUCGUUCGUGUUAUUGACUUGGGUGACAGUCGGUCGUAGCACCAACCACAUUCGAUUUUCUUUGUGAGACGUGUGUCCUCGUCAAAGACGCUCUACGUGGGGUUACAUGCUAGGCUCGGUUUCCGAACCUUGAUUCCGAGGCUCUGAUUUGAAUUUUUUGAACGUUGAAGCCAACCCACUUUGGUUCGUCUCUCUAUCUUCACCAUAUUUUCCCUUUUUGUUUUAGCAAUUGUUUUCUUCAAUUUGAAAUUCCAUUCAUUAUAAUAUCAAUAUGUGCAUAAUCGGACUCACAAAAUAUCGCCGUCAAUGUUUGGUGGUGUGAUGAUCUCAUUUGACACCGUAGGAUGUUGACUCGUUGCCCAUAUACAUUGUUUAUUAUCGAUCGACAUGGAAUUCAAAACCGUGAUUAUAGAUAUAUAUGUCACUAAUUAAGUG